AUGAGUUUGAUCCUGGCUCAGGACGAACGCUGGCGGCGUGCUUAACACAUGCAAGUGGUGCGACGAACCAGGGCUUGCCCUGGGGCUAAGCCGCGAACGGGUGAGUAACACGUGAGUAAUCUGCCCCGAUGACCGGGACAACCCGAGGAAACUCGGGCUAAUACCGGAUGUGGUGCACAGGUUUAAGCUUGUGUACUAAAGGAAGCUUCGGCCUCCGCAUUGGGAGGAGCUCGCGGCCCAUUAGCUUGUUGGUGGGGUAAUGGCCUACCAAGGCAACGAUGGGUAGCUGGUCUGAGAGGACGAUCAGCCACACUGGGACUGAGACACGGCCCAGACUCCUACGGGAGGCAGCAGUGGGGAAUCUUGCGCAAUGCGCGAAAGCGUGACGCAGCAACGCCGCGUGGGGGAAGACGGCCUUCGGGUUGUAAACCCCUUUCAGGAGGGACGAAGGUUCACCGGUGAAUAGCCGUGUGGAUUGACG
rnacentral:rRNA from 1 species